UGACUCUCCGGCACGGGAUCAGACUCUAAAGCAAUGCAGCAUGCAUCCUCCGGUUUCGAGGAGCCUUGCUAGUGAUCUGAUCCCUGCAUCGGCAAUAAGGCAUGUUCUGUGAACCAGCAGGAGCCCAUAGAAAUCCAGCAAUGUCCACCUACCCUUUGAGUAGGAUCCAGAUCCAGGUCUUCGGGGUUUGAGUCCCUGGAGAGGUGAAAGAAGUCCUGCUCCAAGGAUCCUGAGCAAACCUGCCAUUUGUUAAAACCAGGUGACUGGGUCUACAUAAAGGUCCAUCAAC